UUUAAUUAUCGUAUAUAAAAGUGAAAAUAUAAAAUAUAAAUUAAUUUUAGUUGGGGCAACUGGGAGGGAUAAAAAUCUUUUAUUAAAUCAUUUAUAGUAAUAUUUAUAUUUAUGAUCCAAAUUAGUUAAUUUUGAACUUAGAAU
rnacentral:rRNA from 1 species